rnacentral:rRNA from 1 species
CCCUUAGAUGUUCUGGGCCGCACGCGCGCUACACUGAUGCAUUCAACGAGUUCCUACCUUGGCCGAGAGGCCUGGGCAAUCUUUUGAACUUGCAUCGUGAUAGGGAUAGAUUAUUGCAAUUAUUAAUCUUGAACGAGGAAUUCCUAGUAAACGCAGAUCAUCAAUCUGCAUUGAUUACGUCCCUGCCCUUUGUACACACCGCCCGCCGCACCUACCGAUUGAAUGGUCCGGUGAAGCCUCGGGAUUGUGGUUAGUUUCCUUCAUUGGAAGUUAGCCGCGAGAACUUGUCUAAACCUUAUCAUUUAGAGGAAGGUGAAGUCGUAACA